rnacentral:rRNA from 1 species
ACGCUCGACACCUACUGGAGGCAGCAGUGAGGAAUAUUGGUCAAUGGGCGCUAGCCUGAACCAGCCAAGUAGCGUGAAGGAUGAAGGCUCUAUGGGUCGUAAACUUCUUUUAUAUAAGAAUAAAGUGCAGUAUGUAUACUGUUUUGUAUGUAUUAUAUGAAUAAGGAUCGGCUAACUCCGUGCCAGCAGCCGCGGUAAUCUGAGGCGGGCUGGACAAGGC